GAGCACUAACCGCGUGCGAAAAUGAAGGAAAAUAAAUGGAUUAGGGAAAAAUCAAGAAGAAGAAAAAGAAGAGAAAGAUGGAAAAAAUCAGAGAAUUUUGGCAAAAGGAGAGGGAGAAGAAUAGACGGCAGAAAGUUUUUUUUGGAAAAACGAGUCAAAAUUCGAUUAUGGGAAAAAAAUAAAAUAAAAUCCCGAUAACCCCCAAAAUCCC
rnacentral:lncRNA from 1 species